rnacentral:rRNA from 1 species
CAGUUCGGAUUGUAGGCUGAAACUCGCCUACAUGAAGCUGGAGUUACUAGUAAUCGCAGAUCAGAAUGCUGCGGUGAAUGCGUUCCCGGGUCUUGUACACACCGCCCGUCACACCACGGAAGUUGGGGGCGCCCGAAGCCACUUAGCUAACCUUUGGAAGCGAGUGUCGAAGGUGAAAUCAAUAACUGGGGUGAAGUCGUAACAAGGUACC